AAUAAAAUUGCUGGGUCAUAUGGUAAGUUUAUGUUUAACUUUAAAAAUUUUUGUUUUCCAAAGUGACUGCACCAUUUUAUAUUCCCACCAGCAAU
rnacentral:pre_miRNA from 1 species